rnacentral:rRNA from 1 species
GACGAACGCUGGCGGCGUGCUUAACACAUGCAAGUCGAACGGAAAGGCCCUGCUUUUGUGGGGCGCUCGAGUGGCGAACGGGUGAGUAACACGUGAGUAACCUGCCCUUGACUUUGGGAUAACUUCAGGAAACUGGGGCUAAUACCGGAUAGGAGCUCCUGCUGCAUGGUGGGGGUUGGAAAGUUUCGGCGGUUGGGGAUGGACUCGCGGCUUAUCAGCUUGUUGGUGGGGUAGUGGCUUACCAAGGCUUUGACGGGUAGCCGGCCUGAGAGGGUGACCGGCCACAUUGGGACUGAGAUACGGCCCAGACUCCUACGGGAGGCAGCAGUGGGGAAUAUUGCACAAUGGGCGGAAGCCUGAUGCAGCAACGCCGCGUGCGGGAUGACGGCCUUCGGGUUGUAAACCGCCUUCGCCUGUGACGAAGCGUGAGUGACGGUAAUGGGUAAAGAAGCACCGGCUAACUACGUG